rnacentral:lncRNA from 1 species
GUUUUCAACACACAGCUGCAGUUGUUGCAGUGAUCGUUGUCGUUGCUCUCGUCUGUCUGGCUCUCUAUGUUUGGAGGUUUAAGAAACGUCAUCAACAGACUCAGAGUCAAACAGCCGCACAGCUUCCUCUUGAAACACCAGCAGCUGGAACACAGGAAGAAAUCCACUAUGGAGACAUCAGCAUCUCCAGUCGGAGACCUGGACCGUCCUCUGUCUCAGUGCAGGACAGUGGACAGCAGCAGGACACAGUGUACUCACAGGUCAAAGUCAACAGCAGCACACAGCCUGCUGAUGCAGAAGAACUCUAUGCUCGUGUGAAAUAAUGAUGUCAUUUACUCUCUGCUAUUAUGCGACACACAGAGACAACAAGACGACAGUCAAUGACAGGAAACCUUGCACCAUGAUGCAGCCACAGACUUUGUCUUUUAUGUUACAACAGUCCUUUAUUGUGUAGCUGCUGAUGUGCAGUAAGUAGCUGCAAACUAGACAAGUGCAGUUAUUGCUUCUUGUCUUGCAUCAUAUUUUCUUAAACUUUUGAAGAUGUUCAUUCAUUUCACUGUAAUAAAAACCUCA